GAGGGUAUAGCUCAAGUGGUAGAGCACAUGCUUAGCACACAUGAGGUCCCUGGUUCAAUCCCCAGUACCCUCU
rnacentral:tRNA from 1 species